UACGAAGGGGGCUAGCGUUGCUCGGAAUUACUGGGCGUAAAGCGCACGUAGGCGGUCUUUUAAGUCGGGGUGAAAUCCUGGAGCUCAACUCCAGAACUGCCUUCGAUACUGGAAGACUCGAGUCCGGGAGAGGUGAGUGGGAACUGCGAGUGUAGAGGUGAAAUUCGUAGAUAUUCGCAAGAACACCAGUGGCGAAGGCGGCUCACUGGCCCGGUACUGACGCUGAGGUGCGAAAGCGUGGGGAGCAAACGGGG
rnacentral:rRNA from 1 species